CCUCUUUCUCGCUUGUCAUGAGUGCAGUGCAGGUGGGGAGCCCACGCAAUAGUGAAAUAAUUACAAAAAUGAUUUCUUCAACUUCCUGGAUACCUGCGCCUCUGGACUGCAUGACUAUGUGUGACAGGUGGCGAGUGACUUCUCAGUUGCCGUAGCAACCGAUCAUCGAUUUUCACAACUUAUUAUGAGUUGAAAUUAAUAAGACACACAUUGUAGCGAAUUUGUUCAACUUUAAUACUAUUCUUGUAAUAAUUACAGCAAUUAUUUGCUAUUAAUUUACAAAAAAAAUAGAUAAAUUUGUUUAUCCGAGUA